UACAUUUCGGUAUUGAAGUGAAUGUACAAUUCUUUAUGCUGUAAAAGAAAGGUCAGGUCCUUUUAGCGGGAACCUAAACUUCCUGGAGCUGCAUUCGAAUAUCGUUGGAUGUUGAUGCUGGAACUGGCGUGAACAGGAAGUUGGGGGAGGCACUCAAUGGUAGGGCGUCACUGCACUUACUCAGUACUUCCUCUACAGCUCUCUGUGUAGAAAAAUUGAGUUUUCAGUUACCAUGGCAUUCACAAGGUCCAAGGAGGACGACACUAAUUCAGUAUACCCCAGCUUUAUCCAUGCAAAACACCAAGACAAGCUUAAGCUACAGAAUGGUAACAGAGAUGGGACAGGACAAGGAUUCACUAUUGUGAAUAGCACAUCUUUACCUCAACCACUUUGACCAACUCGACCAGGUCAAUUUGGCGUGACUCCACAGGCUGGGGGAUCUCAAGACUGCUCUGCUUUGCAUCCUCCAGUAAAGGCUCAACUGCGAGAAAGCAUGGAUUUGCCAGGUCAAGCGUCUGAGCCUGAGGAACUGAGAGAUGAUCUACUAGUGUGAUUUAUGCUGAUGGAAUUUACCUCUGGAUCGCUUCUUUUGUAGCAGGAAGGGUAAAUACCAGUGACCUCAGCAGACCAGCUAAUCAUCCACAUCCCACCAGUUUGCAAGUGGACCAACCUUUGUGAAGAACUUGUGGCCACGGAUAUUCUGCGAUGACGGGCGAUCCUGUGGGUCGAUUUGAAAUAUUUUGCCCAUCAGUUUCCCAGCUUCAAUACCGAGGUUCUGGGGUAGAAUAAAUUUAGCUUCUUUGAUGUUCUUUAUCAUUUCACAGCGAUCGUCGUGAUCGAAUGGGAUUUCCCCAACCAGAAGCUGGUACCUGUAGUAAGAAAGGCAGCAAAGGUGUUUGAGGUCUUUCACAUUUGACAUAAAAAUGCUGUGCUUCCAAAAGAGCAAUUCCUCUCAACUGUGUGCCAGUAUUCAUUUUUCUUUUCUAUUUCAAGUAGAAAAAAAAAACAUAUUUAUGUAUGUUAGACGCAUGUCUUCUUAAAAUGUUAGACAGAUUUUAUUAGCCAUGCUGAUCUUUGGCCGGGAGGAGGGUUGAUAGGGUAUA